AUUAAUUACAUUUUGUUCCAGAAAAUAUUUAACUUUUCUUCAAAAAAGAUAUAUGCAAGACAGAGGACCUAAACUAGUACCAAAACUCAAACCUGACCCUAGCCCAUGCUCGUACACGUGCCAUAUCAUGCCGAGCAGAGUUGGAAUGUGCACGCAUGUGAGCUUUGAACUUAGCUCAGUAUGAUUUAGGUCACCUCCCUUCUAAAGCGAGUGGUACACCUUCAUAUCCAAAUCCAAAGGCCAAACGACCAUCUUAUAAACCAAAUAUUUUUUUCCUCUAUCCCUUACGCAAACCUUAAUGCUUAUGUUGUGUUGAACUAAAAAAUGUAUCUCCAGCGUGAUCAACAAAUCUCAAGACCUCUCACUCUAGAUAAGCCGUAUUUCUAAACACUGGGACAAACCGUUAGACACACGUGACCUUCUCCAGUGGGGAUGGAACCGGCCGCGUGUGUCAGUUUUUGGAAACAAUAUAUUGAGUGUAGGAGGAUUUUUAACAUGAGCCUCCAAUGUGAAACAAGGGGGGUCGGUAUAGGGAGUCAAAUAAGUUAUAGUAUCAAAGUCUAAACUUGUAUUACCCUUCUAAUGGCACCAAGUGUAAGCUUUUAUAGUGGAAGAAGGCGACUAAGAACCGUCGAAUGAGAAGACACGUGGCCUCAUCCAUGUGAAUAUAACUUUCCAUUAUGGGCAUCAAUCAAUCUUGAAACAUAAAUGCCGAUGGUAAUCUACUUUCCAUAAGUUGUGGACUAUGGCAGUAGACUUGACUAAGUAGGUUGGUUGUGGCGAUGGUGACAGAAAGUUGUUACAUCAAUCAUUUCAUCAGAUCUGAUUCAAAAGAUCUUCUACCAAGCUCUUCCUUCAGUCCCCUUUGCCCGAGGGGUUCCGCCCUACGGGGUCGGCUACCACAUGGGUUCGACUAGAACAUGGGUUCGGCCAUAGAAUAGGCUCAUUCACGAGGAUUCGGUUGUAGAUUGACACCCGGGUCGCAUAUAUGGGUUCUAUCCACGUGGGUCCGAUGGCCACAUGGGACAUGUCUCGGGCCUUGUUGGAAAGGGUAUAACAUAUCGCAAGGUCCUUUUUCCUCACGGUUUCCUAUAUGGGACAAAUGUCAACAAAUCUAAUCAAAUUCUUCAACAUUCAAAUUUCAAAGAGGUAACUGAAAGUGUAAAAGGCGUGUUUCACUAAAUUGGAAACUUUGGAGUUACUUAAAAGAAGUGCUAAUUUGUCUUUUUAAUUGGUUUGGAGGGCCACAUGGCAACCACCAAUUGGUUAUUUUACUAAAAUGAGGAUUGUGCUUCUUCACCUCCACGGUAAGAAAUUAGAUCAUAACGUAUGGCUGGGAUAUAAUCUUGAUUUCACAUGGUUUUUAUGACUCUUGUGCUACCUGAUUUUAGAGAGUGGAGUUCUCAUGCUUUCUGGCAAUUUUUGAAAGUGGCUCUCUCUCUCUGAAAUUCUUCCAACUUCUAUUGUGUUUCACUGUGAUUAUUAGAGAGGUUAAAGAAUUGUAUAACCCUUGUGUCAUAGAUUUGAAAGAAAGUUUUCGGUCUGCUGUUUUUUACGGUGGUGCACUGGUUUAGCCAUGUUAGUUCUUGUCAAGUUUAGGGUUGAUUCUUGUAUUUGGUUCUUGAGAUCUUUGUGUGAUCUAUGAUUAGAACUUAGGACAAAGUCUUUGUAUGUUGAUCUCUUUGGAAGGCUAGUUUUACAUAGUGGAUUGGAUUGAUUGUGAUCCCCCCAAAUUAGCCCUUAUUUGGGUGAACUGGGUGACCAAUUUUUGGUAUUCAUUUUCUUUACAUUUUCAACAUUUUAUUUACUGUUUGUGAUGCUGUGAUUUUUGCCGAAUGAUAGAUGAUUUUUGGUUGGAUUGAGUGGCUGAAAAUAUAAGAUCAUUGAGGUAAAAUCAAAUCUGGGACCAAUAAUCUCAACGGUAACUUUAAAAUUAAAUAUUUCAUUCCAUUCUUAAUAUUUUUGGCAAAUAAAUAUAUCAUGUCAAUCAUCUCGUAGAGUAGAAUCUUCUCCAUUGUUGUGCGCCCCUUUUCAACAAGUGAAUGCAUUUGAUAAACAGCAUGACAUUGUUCAACUAGAAAUGGAGCAUUCUAAGCCAAACACCAAUGAAAAUAGUAACCGAUUCUGGUUGUGGAUUUGUGAGACGUGAUUGAUUGAAGGGAUUAUUAAUUGCCUAUCAAAAACUCAAAGGAAGAAUUGGUGAUGGGAUUGUUGCAGAAAAUGCUAUCGUAUGGCUUUACGUGGAUCAUUAAGGGAACAUACAAGUUCUCUUCUCAUUUCACAAGUUCGAAUGGUGAAGGAAUGCUAAUUUACUUGCAUCCUGGUUUCGAAGUUGGAGAGUUUUCCAAAGCCAACAGGUUGCGAAUUUGGUAGAGGUGAUUGAUUCAAACGAGUAUGAAUUGCCAAACAAAAAUUCAAAAUAAAAGGAUCGAAAAGUUGCCAAUGGGGUUGUCGAAGACUUUGCAAAGGAUGCGACUAUGAGGAUACUCAAAGGACCACAAAGGUCCCGUCUCGCUGCACAUGUUGAAACGGUGGAGUAAUGCUAAUUAUUGUUGGAAAAUUACACCGAUAUUAUGCAUAUUAUAUUCACAAAACAUAUCAUUUAUAUUCACGAAAUCGAAAUGCAGUUUCGUCUUACCGAAAUGGAUUUGGAAAGAUGAAACGGCAGAUUCAAUCAUUUCCGUUCUUUAUUUCAAACCUACAUGAAAUCAAAAGAAUGUUAAUUAAUUUUCUGAAAUCAAAUAUGAAGAAAGAAAUCAGAAAGAAUCAAGAUGAGAUGCGAGUGAUGCAAUUGGCCGAGGCAAAUGUUGGACAUUUUGUCCUUAGCAUGAAUUUGCCUCGCAUCGGUGCUAACGAUUUUUCGGCAAUAAUUUCCCAAGAUACAACGACCACGUCGAGUCAUAUGAGCACUCCAAAUGGUUUAGAGCAACGAACUCGAACGAAGUUCCCUCUCUACCAUAACCAUAACUUUGAUCCAAGAGUUUUAUGCAAACUAUCUAAGCAUGAAAUGGAAUGAUACGGAAUUAUGAAUUGAAUUUCU
rnacentral:lncRNA from 1 species